CACAAGGAUAUGUGACUGGCAGAAAUGCAGGCACUCGCCAACUCUAAUAGUAAGUUGGAGAAGUCCUGGAGAAUGGGCAUCCUGGUGGGGUGGCAGAAUGGGGUUCUCGCUUCAGCAGAUGCAGCCCCCCAAACACAGCACUCCAUGGAUGAGGACUCAAAAGAUGAAUGUCAUUUUCUGGCCCUGUGUCUCAGAGAUGCCCUGAGGCUGUCUGACAAGGUGAGCUGUUCCACACAAAAAACAAAGAAUUAAUCACACCUCAGUCCAGCCUGAGUUGGGGCCAGUCUAUUGCCUGGGUCCUGAGAUGUGCUGCCUCAAACGUCUUCACUGGACGUGGUCAUGCCUGAGACCAGAAUGGAAUAGAACAAUCCAUUUGAAUACAGCGAUGGAUGGGAUGGUCAGAGAUGUCCACACACAUCUCUGCUCACCCUCACCUUCCUGCAAACUCCAUUCAUUUAUUUAUGGGGAAAUUUGAUGUUUCCCUCAAAUGUCCUUUCCCUCUCAGAGAGUAAUUUUGUUUCCCCGUCAUCAGAUAGCACUGAGAAAGGGGCCAGAGUUGGGCCUCUCUGGGGCUGUCCCUGCAGUAUUCCUGGGACCCUUAAGCCUCGGUCUUGGGUUCCUUCAUGGAUUUGACAAAUUCCUUGACUUCUUCUUCCAAGGCCUUGUUCCUCUUCUCAACAUCCUCCCGGGAGCGCUCCAUGUUGCGGAGGCUGAUCUCUAGGGCUGCAGACUUCUUCUUUUCCUUCUCCAGUUCUUCAUUGAGCCUCACCACUUUAGCCCAAACGUCAUAAUUUUCCUUCU
rnacentral:lncRNA from 1 species